GAUGGUUAUAAUUGUUAUCAUAUAAAUAACAACAUAAUAUUAUUAUUUUUUCGUAUGCCGACGUUGAGUUUGAAUCAUUUGCGAAUCACGAUUAUUUGAAACUUGAACAGAAAUACAGACUACAGAACAGUCGUACAGAGUUCUAUUCAUACAUUUUAGUACAAAAUCGCCACGGAUGAGUGUAUUCUAUUUAGCAAUACAUCCAAUGUAUCACCUCGCCACAUUACGUUAAUUUUCAUUUAUUUCCAAAAAAUCAAUGAAAUAAAAGGAAAUAAUGACUAAAAGUCUUCGAAUUAAAUGAUUAUCCCAAUUUCUACCUUGCAUAGAAUCUGCGGUAAUCAUUUCACAAUUAGUGAUUGUAAACAAUGCUCAGUAAAUUAGUAAACACGAUCAGAGGCUGUCUCAAAACAUAAUCCAAACCACUUGUCUGGGAUAGAGAGUUAAAAUAAAUUUUGUUAUUUACGGCAACAUCGGUACUACUCGUGAGUACUACUAGGAAAUCGCAUCUAAGAGAAAACUUUGUUUCUCCAACGAUGAGUUAGCAGAAAAUGAACAGACGAAUAAAGGAUUUUGAGGACUUACAGUUGAUGAUUUUGAUUAGCCCAGAAAAGCCUUAGAUACUCAAUAAUGUCUAAUUCACACACACUUAUGUCAUAGAAUGGAUUAUACUUAUUAUUGUUUUCGAAAUUGAAAUAAUAUAUUAUGUACCACAUACAAGGAACUAGGAAGUGGAGCCAAUGUAUUGACAAUUUUUCAGACGUUGACUUUCUUGAAGAUAAUUCUACCGACUCAGAUGAAGCCAUAUAAUAUUGGAGCGAAUUGUGCAACUCAAAGGUAAUACAAUUUUGCUGAGCUAGAAUCCAAUUUUAAUAACGCAGAGGGCCUCAAUGUAUUUAAAUUGCAAAAAAACAAAUAACUACUUUGGACCAUUGGUAUGUUUCCUAAAAGGAAAGUGCAUCUAGUUGGAUGCGUUAAACAGGUAAAGAUUGAA